rnacentral:rRNA from 1 species
UACAGAGGGGGCAAGCGUUGUUCGGAAUUACUGGGCGUAAAGGGCGCGUAGGCGGCCCUCUAAGUCGAACGUGAAAUCCCCGGGCUCAACCCGGGAACUGCGUCCGAUACUGGAAGGCUUGAAUCCGGGAGAGGGAUGCGGAAUUCCAGGUGUAGCAGUGAAAUGCGUAGAGAUCGGGAGGAACACCAGUGGCGAAGGCGGCUACCUGGACCAGCACUGACACUGAAGCACGAAAGCGUGGGGAGCAAACAGG